CUAAAGUAGUAGUAGUUAUGUUCUUGAAACUUAAAAAAUUUGGCGGUAUUUUAGUCUAUUCAGAGGAACCUGUCCUAUAAUCGAUAAUCCACGUUGGACCUAACUUAGAUUUGUUUAUCAGUUUGUAUACCGUCGUUAUAAGAAUAUUUUAUUAGAAUAAUAAUUUUCUAGAAUUUUUAUAAAAAUUUAUAUCAGAUCAAGGUGCAGCUUAUGUUUAAGUAGAGAUGGGUUACAAUAAAAAUAUUUAUACGAAUUAGUUUUUGAAAUAAAAUUAUAAAGGUGGAUUUGAAUGUAAAAUUAUAAAGAUAAAUAAUUUGAUUUUAGCU
rnacentral:rRNA from 1 species